rnacentral:tRNA from 1 species
GGGGCUAUAGCUCAGCCGGUUAGAGCGCAUCCCUGAUAAGGAUGAGGUCGCUGGUUCGAUUCCAGCUAGCCCCA